rnacentral:rRNA from 1 species
GACGAACGCUGGCGGCGUGCUUAACACAUGCAAGUCGAACGAAGAGCGAUGGAAGCUUGCUUCUAUCAAUCUUAGUGGCGAACGGGUGAGUAACGCGUAAUCAACCUGCCCUUCAGAGGGGGACAACAGUUGGAAACGACUGCUAAUACCGCAUACGAUCUAAUCUCGGCAUCGAGGAUAGAUGAAAGGUGGCCUCUACAUGUAAGCUAUCACUGAAGGAGGGGAUUGCGUCUGAUUAGCUAGUUGGAGGGGUAACGGCCCACCAAGGCGAUGAUCAGUAGCCGGUCUGAGAGGAUGAACGGCCACAUUGGGACUGAGACACGGCCCAGACUCCUACGGGAGGCAGCAGUGGGGAAUCUUCCGCAAUGGACGAAAGUCUGACGGAGCAACGCCGCGUGAGUGAUGACGG